CAGCAAGGCAGGUCCAAGCAGCAGCUUCUGCCCUCCCACCCAGUUCAGUUUCGCUCCCUCUGAGACAGAACCGGGAACAGAGACCCAGGCUAUGUUGUUUUCUGAACCAACCUCCACAUCACAGACGACAGGAAUGUAACGGCCACACAGGACUCUCGCAAAACUUUGGGGAAGACCCCUCUGUUAAGCAAAAACCUAGUGGGGGGUUUACCGGUUAGCUCCCUGUGACGUCACAGUAUCCAGACUACAUUUCCCAGAAGUCCGUGCGAAGGGAUUUCUGUAACCCACCGAAGGUGAUUUCUCUGGUUCCAGAAUUUGUCCCUGGCAACCCAAGAGAGAGAAUAGAAGGAAAGAAGCAGUCUGCAGCACAUUCUUGGGGAGUCGGGCUGGUUUUCCCCCCUCCGGAUCCACAACAGGAGAUAACGUGAAUACAAUCCCCCCUGUUCUGAGGCUCAACUGGACUGCGCUGCACAUAAGUGCAUAUACAUGUGAACCAAUGUAGCGCCUCUACUUUCCUUGCUUUGCAAGACCUUCUGCAGCCUGUCAAAAGAUUUCCUGAUGAUGACGGCACAAUGCAAAGUCACAGGUGUUCCCUGAGCAGUCUGCAGGCUGUUUUCAGAAUUUAUUCUCAUGUGAAAUGUGUAAAGCAAAGCUGUUGGAAAGGAUCAUGGGUAACAGCAACAUUGAUACUCAACUGGUGUCAAUGUAAAUUGGAGCAGACACAGUGAAAACCACUCUGUACCUUCUUUAAAAAAAUCAAAAUAUAACUGCCUAAGCGAUCCAGCUACUUCAAUCCUAGGUAAACAGCUCCAAAGGAACUGAACCAAGUCUGCAUUUCCAGGAAAAGAGCCACUUGGUCAUCGUGGGUAGUUUUGAUACUUGCAUGUAUCCACUUUCCACGACACUUGCUCUCCAGGUCUGCACUGUCAAUGAGGCAACCCUUUGAACAGUGGCCUCUCCAGGCCUCUUACAGUACCAAGUGCCGGCUGCUUUCCAUCACAUCUUCAUGUCUUAAAAAUCAACACUAUUUGGGAGAGUCAUAGACUACCAAGUCCAGUUGUUGAAAUCCAGUGUGGGCCCCCUCCACAACACUCCACACAGCUCCAAGUGCUGUGGAAAUACUCACAGAACUCAGAACCUCAAUGUUGCUGCUCCUUUUUAAAUCACAACUGAUUUCUCAGUCCCAGCUAACAAAUAGUAAUUGUCCCAGGACAGUAAUGGGUUCAUGUCAGUAGUGCUGGGCUUUGGUAAUCACAACUCAGCUGGUACUGAAGAGAAACCAGAAAAAGGUAGGGGGAGCAAUUGGAAGAUUGUGGGAGUCCUUUGAAACCUCAAGCUUGCCUCCAAUGACAUACCUCCAACCAGGCCACACCUCUUAAUCCUUCCCAAGCAGUUCACCAAUGGAGACCAAGUAUUCAAGUAUAGGAACCUAUGGCACCAUUUUCAUUCAAACCACCAUAGAAAGUUUUUCUGUUUUGUACAUACAAAGCUCAAAGUAUACUAUGGUACAUGCAUUUUUUUAAAACUUCCCUGGUACAGUUCAUACAGCUUAGCUGGGACUAAGAAAUCAGCUGUGAUUAAAAGGAGACCAGCAUCAUUAAGGUACUAUCUUUUGAGGGUUAUUUCUUCAGAGUCGGCACAGGGAGACUGUGGUGGAAAGAACUAACAUGGCAUUUCAUACUACCAUCUGGACUUCAUAGUGGAUGAUUCUCCCUCACGGUACUGAUGCUGAAGCCAUGCAAGCAAGGAAAACAAGCUGGGGUUUAGCACUGUGAAAGGCCAGGAAAGGAAUUGGUGGAAAGUGCAACCUCAGUUGCAGUGGAGACCCCAUGAGUGACAGAGUCAUGGAAACCAAAUACAAGCAAAUGUCAUAAGACCAUAUACCAUGAUCAGGUUGCUUGUAUCCUGAAAAUUUAGGAUUGUUUCAAUCUGACAUUUGACAGAGGCAAAAAAACAUACACUGGAAAAAAAAGAUAACACCUUCGAUAAGUGGUGUUUGGAAAACUGGAUGACCACAUGCAGAAGAAUGAAACUAGACCUGUAUCUAUUGCCCUGCACAAACUUUGAUCCAAGUGGAUUGAACCCUUCAUUUUGAAACUUGAAACACUAAACUGCUAGGAGAACAUAUAAGCAGUAUUCUGCAAAAUAUAGGUGCACCAAAGAACGUUUUAAACAUGAUUACUUUUGCCCACAAAUUAAGGCCAAUGAUGGAGAGAUGGGAUUUCAGAGAACUAAAAAAUUAGGUACAGCUAAGUGUGCAGACCACAUCCGGAAUGAACUUUGGCUGAGUUCUUGCCUAUGAUUAAUCAUGAAUGAGUCUGCUGACAUCUGUCUUUGUUUUUACUUAAGAAGUACAUUACAUCCUGCCAAGUUCCUGUGCUUAAGCAUAUGUCCUUGAGAGACUGCCCAAGCCUGAACAAAAUGGUCAUAAGCAUUUGCAGUCAUUGUCUAACUUCCUGGAGUUGGUCAUGCUUUCUGUUGCUUGCCUUUAAAAGACACUGAGAAAAUACACUCACAGCUGGCAUGGUAUUGACCAGAAGCCCUCCAAGCUCUGUCUCUUGCAUCUUCAUACUUUCCUAUAAUCAUUCUCACUCCUCCGGGUUCCCAGGCUGAUUGACAGGCAGCCUCCAGCAGUUCAGGAAACAACCAACUGAGCUAAGCAGAACCCCACAGGAUGGGAGAGAACCUCUGGCAUCUGCACAUCUGUCUGGGGAUCAAUACCCAAAAUAUACAAAGAACUCAAAAAACAAAGAUUUAAGGAAACAGAUGACACAAUUUUAAAAACGAGCUAGGAAUUUAAACAGAAUUCUCAAUAGAAGAAAUGAAAAUGGCUAAAAAGAAAAAUGUAUCUCAAAACCUGCUCAUCAUCUUUAGCUAUUCGGGAAAUCACAUUCAAACAACUGAGAUUCUCUCUCACCAUAGCUAGAAAGGCUAAGAUCAACAAAAUAACUGACAACAAAUGCUGGCAAGGACUGGAUAAAAAGAAACCUUCACUGUUGCCAAGACUGCAAACAUACAGCAACUUUGGAAAUCAGCAUGAAGAUUAUAUCAACAGCUAAAUGUUCAUGUACUACAGGUGUAAGUUACGCCACUUGUCAGCACGUACAAGGAUUGUGCAUCCUCCUCCACAAAACCCAGCUCGGCCAGGUGGGUUAUUUCUCUGUUCAUAAUAGCUAGGAAAUACAAAUGAUCUAAAUUUCCUUUAACUGACAAAUGAAUAAUAAAAACGUCAUAUCCUCACACCACGGCACACUAUUUAAGCUGUGUGAUGAUUUGUAUAUUCUUGCACAUAUUUGCAGGUGUGGCUUUGUUGGAAUAGGUGUGACCUGGUAGGAGUAGGUAUGUCACUGUGGGUGUGGGCUUACAACCCUCACCCUAGUUGCCUGGU
rnacentral:lncRNA from 1 species